rnacentral:SRP_RNA from 1 species
GCCUGUAGUCCCAGCUACUCGGGAGGCUGAGGUGGGAGGAUCGCUUGAGUCCAGGAGUUCUGGGCUGUAGUGUGCUAUGCCGAUAAGGUGUCUGCACUAAGUUCAGCAUCAAUAUGGUAACCUCUCGGGAGUGGGGAACCACCAGGUUGCUUAAGGAGCAGUGAACCGGCCCAGGUAGGAAACAGAGUAGGUCAAAACUCCCGUGCUGAUCAGUAGUGGGAUUGCGCCUGUGAAUAGCCACUGCACUCCAGCCUGGGCAACAUAGUGAGACCCCCGUCUCA